CACGUGCACCAGGUAAACCCACGGCGACUAAUAACGCUGAAACAAAUAAAAACUCAUGGAUUGAGUACUUCGGUUUGCUUGGGGCGCUCAUGUAUGUUAAAAGUUUGGAUAAACCGGUGAAAAAAGAAGACACUAUCCAGAUUCAACAAACUUUGGGAGGAAAAUAAGACGCAGCGACUUUAAACCAGCGUAUGUUUUGUAGGCCACGCAGGUGAGCAUGACUGACUACAGCAUGCUCCUGCAGAGAUUAACAAGAAGGCCACGCCAGCUAAAGGUGCAAGAAAUAUUGGUGCAUAUCUGUCACAAAGGACUACCUGAAGCUGUAACGAGCACUGCACCAUCCAUGGAAACAAGUGGACUUGGGUGGACAGAUCGGGACAGAAAGUAUGUCUGCACAGGGAAGGCCAGAAGAAGGAGCAGAUUGUUCCCCUGCUGUCGUGGAUGGAUCAGAGACAAUUAAGAGGCAUCAGUAUUGAUUUCAGUCAGUUUGGUAACCAGCUGAAACCCCAACUGGAGCUGUAAGUUUAAACCUUCAAGGGAUGUGAUACUGCUUGGUUCCAGAAGGACUACAGCCUCUUCAGGACACCUUCUCCCAUCAUCCAUGUCUUUAACCCUUUUAACAUUACUGCGCAGUGCUGCCGAGCUGCUCUGGACUCUGCCCGCUGCAUUUCUGAUCAAACCCCCACAGGGCGGCUCUUUUUACACUUUGACAACUGUUUCAAUUCAUGAGCAGAAGGUCUCCUGAGGUAUCUGGUUCCCGGUAUCCAUCAUUCUCGACGAGUUGGGACCUUGGAGUAGCGCCAGCAGCGUCUGUGCUAGCCAGCCGUAACUGACAUUGAGUGCAUUGUUUGCAGCGGGGAGCUCACGGCUGUGGCCUAAAGGUGUUUUCCAGAACUGGAAACUGUUUUCCAGGUUUUCCAGGUUUUCCAGGACGCAUGGGAACCCUGUUUGUUGUUUUAUCAGAAUAAUCUGAACAUCUUUGAGCUUUGGGUCAUUGCUCUGCCAACAUAGGACAGUAAAAUAUGCAAAUGUCAUCUUCAGCUGGGUUUUCUGGCAUUUUUAGACCACACAAUUCAGGUUCAAAUUGAGGGAAUGGUCAUAAUGAAAGUUACUGUUAAGUGCAGCCCUAAUUGAGGUUCAAUAAUUGAAUUGCAUUGAAUUGAAUUGAAUUGAAUUGAAUUUAUUUAAUUAUAUUUCAUGUUACUUUACUUUUUGUGGUUUCAACCAAUUUAUACAGACAAAACUGCAAAAACUCUUUCUGUAAAGCAAACUUCACAAAACUGAUUCAAACUUGAGACAUGUUUACAUCCUGAUGAAUAUGUUUAUAACUGUUUCAAAACUGGCAACAUAAGAAUAAAAUCAUUUCCACUGAAUAAAUAUUCAAAUUUUC